rnacentral:lncRNA from 1 species
CUAGUAGUCCAUUAUUAGAGCUUUUAAUAGAAACUAAACUUUAUGGACUGUUACCGGAAAGUUCUAAGUAAGAAAGGGGCAAAAACUUCUUAACUCACUUAAGGAACUUACAUACUUAAACAUACUUAAGGGGGAAACUUUUAUUCUCUGCAUCUUUUCAAAGUGUAGAUUUUGCAUAAGACGUGUAUUGAUUUUGAGCCUCGACUAUAGUUCAAGAUCCAUGAAAGCUGUCUAAAUGGUCUUUAAGCUGAGUUCUCUCUUUGCCGCAAUCCAUACGAAUAGAGGGAAACUGUAUGAAAUGUUUAAUUGGGGUAGGUAAUAUCAUGAACCCUGUGCAGAGCUGAAGAGAAACCCCCUUCUCAUAGUGUGAAAUGUCUGAGAGUUAUUUUCUAAGAACACAUUCACCGUACCAACCCUCUUCCAUUAAGUUCAGGCUCUCAUUUUUUUUUCCUUUGUGAAAUUUUUUGUUUCAUCUUUUGGAAUCUUCUCACCCCCAAUGAAACUUAACAUGAAGUGGAAAUCUGCAUGCCACAUUCAGUUGAUUCCUGUUACUCUUAAGGUUUGUCCUCAAGCCUCCCCAAUCAUGAGGAAAUUAGAGUAUCAAACUAACCAAAUCUUUCAGCCUUCUAGAAACCAGCAGAUUUCACAAGUACAGGAAACAUCUUCGGGUAGAAUUUGAUGAAAUCAAAACAUGUUACUUUUCUUAUCAUCUUGACAAAAGCUCUAUUGAUCGCUCAAUUCCGUUUUGGCUAAAGUAAAAAAAUGUGUUUUCAGAUUGCAAUGUUGUGAUUCUCCGGUUUCCGUUUGAUUAUUUGACUAUUAUUUGAUUAUCUUGAAAAGAAAACUGACCAACAGUUUCUAUUGAAAUUUUCUGUGAAAUUUCUUCACUCAAUCCAAAAAAAAAUGGAUUAUUCCGCCUUUGUUAAGAUGUAUUCACACCAAACUUCAAGUGAUGUACAACCUAUUGCCAUUGAGGUAAAUAUCUUGAAAAUUUCUCAAGGAAAAUCCGAUUGUAGAGGUCUUGGGCUCGGGACGAUAUGCAGAGUAACAUAUCGACGGUGAAACUACCAAACCACGUAUCUCGGUUUGCGACGUUGCAGACUUCCUGUCAUACUUUAUUUUUUAAAUGAAAAACUACUUAACGUCUAGUCUUGAAAAUUUCUGUGAUUUUUCCUCUUCGUGCAGAGAAAAUUCUGUGAAAAUUUCUAAGAAUGAUAUUGAUUUGGUCUACUUCAAAAAAUAAAUGCAAGCGUAGAUUUUUAAACACCGCAAACGAGAUACGUGGUUUGGUAGUUUCACCGGCAAUAUGUUAAAUUCAUCCAAUUCCACCGUAAGGCGCUCCUCUCUUGAUAUUAGUCAUCGGUUUUAGUUCUUUUAUUUGUUUUCUAGAUGUGUAUUCUCUCUUACUAUACAAUCUUCUGGUUUUCUGUGAUUUAUGCUUUGAUCUUCGCUGUUCUAGGUUUUUUUUACACCGGGAAGCUCAUCAAAUCGAAUGAAUAAAAAAGUGUUAAAACAUUAUUUGUCACAAUCUUUAUCUGUUCUAAUAAAAAUUAGCAAAGCAGUGCCAAAUAAAUGAGGAGAAGAUAAUUCUUGCAUUCAGUGAAUCAUUAAUCAACUUGUGGCUAUUUUUUCCCUCCUCCCCAGCAGUCGCAAGGGUCAGAAUUUUUCUUUUUUUUUUCUUUGUUCUUAAGCACUAAUGUGACUCAUCAUUUUCAUUUUAAUGACUAUAAUCAUUCAACCAUCCUGAAGAUAUUUUGUCACUAAUUCAUUUUUAUGACUUUAUGAGAAUUUAUGAUGAGUUAUCAAGAUCAG